AACGAACGCUGGCGGCAGGCUUAACACAUGCAAGUCGAGCGCCCCGCAAGGGGAGCGGCAGACGGGUGAGUAACGCGUGGGAAUCUACCCAUCCCUACGGAAUAGCUCCGGGAAACUGGAAUUAAUACCGUAUACGCCCUACGGGGGAAAGAUUUAUCGGGGAUGGAUGAGCCCGCGUUGGAUUAGCUAGUUGGUGGGGUAAAGGCCUACCAAGGCGACGAUCCAUAGCUGGUCUGAGAGGAUGAUCAGCCACAUUGGGACUGAGACACGGCCCAAACUCCUACGGGAGGCAGCAGUGGGGAAUAUUGGACAAUGGGGGCAACCCUGAUCCAGCCAUGCCGCGUGAGUGAUGAAGGCCUUAGGGUUGUAAAGCUCUUUCACCUGGGAAGAUAAUGACGGUACCCGGAGAAGAAGCCCCGGCUAACUUCGUGCCAGCAGCCGCCGCCG
rnacentral:rRNA from 1 species